rnacentral:lncRNA from 1 species
GCGCUCCGCGUGGGAUUUGCACUUAGCGGUGCCUACGGUUCCUCUUUUAACCACUUUCCCUUCUUCUUUUGAGUCCAACUCCUUACUUCUUCAACUUCCUUCAUUCAAUUCAUGUUAAUUCUUUCCAAAAUAAGGAAAACCAAGCAUAAAACCAAGAAAACCACCUUUGACUCUCUUAAUCUCUAACUUAAUCAAAUUUCAUGAUUUCAAGCUAGUUUCUAAGUCAUAAAGGGUGUGUUUAGUGUCAAAAUUAAGUAUAAAAAUAAUGGUUUUUCAACUGUUAUCAUUUUCUCAACUCUCUCUCCACCAUUGACGCUUCUAUCUCUCUCCACCAUUUUGGUUUUCUUCGUUCCUUACUUUUCUUCACUCUUUGUCCACCAUUGAACUGUUGUCUUUCUCCCCCCUUUCAGUUUGAGUUCAACUCUUCUUACUUCGUUUCUUGGGUCAUUUGGUCACUGUCGAGGAUUUCGUCUCUCUUUUUACCCAUUUUCCCCUUUUUUGAUGGUGUGACUGUGGGUUCGUUGGCGGUUGAUGGGUGUCGCGUCCCAUACAAAUUUGAUGUUUAUAAAGAAUGCAAUAUAGAUUAGGAAGUGACUCCUAGGUCGUCUCUCAAGGACUAAACCAUAGUUCAGAAAUUAUGUCUAAAACAAAGUGGGGGGGGGGAGGGUUGAAAGUGUUUUUGUGAUUAGAAAUGAACUAAAUCAAAACUGGAAAUUAAAUACAAUCAAGCACAAUUGAAAACAUUGAAAUAAAUUGACAAAGCAUUAAGACCGAAUGGUUCUACAUUGAGACCGAACGGUCUCUAAAGCAAGUGAGGAAAUUGGUAAUGCAAGAAGAUAAAGAAACCAAGUAAACUAAACAGCAUAAUGAACGAAAACAAUAAACCGAACAUAAUAAACAACAUAGUGAACUGAAAAAAAAUAAACUGAACAAUGCAAAAGAUAAAUAUCCAAACACAAUUAAAGCUAUUAAAAUACAAGACUCAAUGAAAAAGAUGAAAAGCAAUUCAACAUAUAAUUUAAAAUAAUCUAAGGCAAAAGAAAUAGGAAAACAUAAAUUUUUUCUACCAAUUCACGUGACCCAUGUGCUCUUUCUCUAAGAAAGCAAAUGAUAAAACCUUCUCCAUGUGGGCCGUGGCUGCUUACACAAAUGAACCCAACGCAUCCCCUAUGCUAGACGUGACCGUGUACCUUGUCACCGUGCUGCACCAAUUUUUCAUUCAAUGAAAAUUAAAAUGAAAUGCACCGUCCUCUAAAAGAAAUUGAAAUAUGCUUUCCUAAUUCUAUCAUCAGGUCGUAACCACUAAAGGCAUCCCAGGCCAUGUGUGCACCGCUCCCAACUAAAAUAAAAUACACACUUUUUCUCCUAAUAGAAAAUGAAAGCUAAAUGUAAUAAAGAACUUCCAUACAGACCGUAACAGCGCCUGCUAAAUCAGCAUUUCUUUCAAAUCCAAGGUGCUUUCCAAAUGAAGAGGCAAUGACUAAAUCAGUAAAAGGAAAUUACUGUGGAGCUCUCAUUCCAUCAUCAAAUCACAACGUGUAGCACCAUAAGCGUUCAAAGAAAACUCUUAAAUGAGGUAACGGUUGCUGCCCAUCCUAAUAAAAAUCACGCAAUCUUAAAAGAAGAGAAAAAGUGCUUAAAGCUAUCAUGAAUCAACCUUCAAUCAACGUCACUGAACUAUGUUUCAGCAUUUGCACAAAAAUAAAAAUGAGAAAGUUCUAUUUCAUUCAUCCAUGAAAACAGCGUAGCACAUCCAAAGCUCUCUCAAAAUGUUCAAAAGCAAAACCUAGAGGAGAGUGGCGGCUGGACCACCCCAAUAGCACCAAAUGUCUCUUUUGGUUUUUAAAAG